rnacentral:rRNA from 1 species
GAAGCGGCAACAGCUCAAAUUUGAAAUCUGGCUCUCCGGGGUCCGAGUUGUAAUUUGUAGAGAGUGUUUCGGGUGAGAUCGCGGUCUAAGUCCAUUGGAACAUGGCGUCAUAGAGGGUGAGAAUCCCGUAUGCGACUGUGGAUCGAGCCCAUGUGAAGCCUCUUCGACGAGUCGAGUUGUUUGGGAAUGCAGCUCAAAAUGGGUGGUAAAUUUCAUCUAAAGCUAAAUACUGGCUGGAGACCGAUAGCGCACAAGUAGAGUGAUCGAAAGAUGAAAAGCACUUUGGAAAGAGAGUCAAACAGUACGUGAAAUUGUUGAAAGGGAAGCGCUUGCAACCAGACCUGUCCGUAGGUGAUCAGCCGCUGUUCUCAGUGGUGCACUCGCUCUGCGAUCAGGCCAGCAUCGGUUCGGGCGGUCGGAUAAAGGCCUUGGGAAUGUAGCUUCUUUCGGGGAGCCUUAUAGCCCUCGGUGCAAUGCGGCCAGCCGGGACCGAGGACCGCGCUUCGGCUAGGAUGCUGGCGUAAUGGUUGUAAGCGACCCGUCUUGAAACACGGACCAAGGAGUCUAACAUCUAUGCGAGUGUUUGGGUGUUAAACCCAUGCGCGGAAUGAAAGUGAACGGAGGUGAGAACCCUUAAGGGCGCAUCAUCGACCGAUCCAGAUGUCUUCGGAUGGAUUUGAGUAUGAGCAUAGCUUACGGGACCCGAAAGAUCGUGAA